GAUGAACGCUGGCGGCGUGCCUAAUACAUGCAAGUCGAGCGAACGGACGAGAAGCUUGCUUCUCUGAUGUUAGCGGCGGACGGGUGAGUAACACGUGGAUAACCUACCUAUAAGACUGGGAUAACUUCGGGAAACCGGAGCUAAUACCGGAUAAUAUUUUGAACCGCAUGGUUCAAAAGUGAAAGACGGUCUUGCUGUCACUUAUAGAUGGAUCCGCGCUGCAUUAGCUAGUUGGUGAGGUAACGGCUUACCAAGGCAACGAUGCAUAGCCGACCUGAGAGGGUGAUCGGCCACACUGGAACUGAGACACGGUCCAGACUCCUACGGGAGGCAGCAGUAGGGAAUCUUCCGCAAUGGGCGAAAGCCUGACGGAGCAACGCCGCGUGAGUGAUGAAGGUCUUCGGAUCGUAAAACUCUGUUAUUAGUGAAGAACAUAUGUGUAAGUAACUGUGCACAUCUUGACGGUACCUAAUCAGAAAGCCACGGCUAACUACGUG
rnacentral:rRNA from 1 species